UACGGAGGGUGCAAACGUUGCUCGGAAUUAUUGGGCGUAAAGCGCACGUAGGCGGUCUAUUAAGUCGGGUGUGAAAGCCCUGGGCUCAACCCAGGAAGUGCACUCGAAACUGAUAGGCUUGAGUACGGAAGAGGGUCUCUGAAUUCCCGGUGUAGAGGUGAAAUUCGUAGAUAUCGGGAGGAACACCAGUGGCGAAGGCGGAGACCUGGGCCGAUACUGACGCUGAGGUGCGAAAGCGUGGGGAGCAAACAGG
rnacentral:rRNA from 1 species